GAUGAACGCUGGCGGCGUGCCUAAUACAUGCAAGUCGAGCGAACGGACGAGAAGCUUGCUUCUCUGAUGUUAGCGGCGGACGGGUGAGUAACACGUGGAUAACCUACCUAUAAGACUGGGAUAACUUCGGGAAACCGGAGCUAAUACCGGAUAAUAUUUUGAACCGCAUGGUUCAAAAGUGAAAGACGGUCUUGCUGUCACUUAUAGAUGGAUCCGCGCUGCAUUAGCUAGUUGGUAAGGUAACGGCUUACCAAGGCAACGAUGCAUAGCCGACCUGAGAGGGUUAUCGACCACACUGGACCUUAUCCACGCUCCCGACUCCUACGGGAGGCAGCAGUAGGCAGUUUUCCGCGCAGGACCGACGCCUACCGGAACUUUGCCCCGUGUCAAAUGCAGGUCUUCUUUUCCUUAAUCCUUCUUAUUCGGGUAGAACGUAGUUGUGUCUUACCGUGGACUGCUUGGCGGUACCAAGUCAGCCGGCCACGGCUUUCUCCGUG
rnacentral:rRNA from 1 species